GAGGGUCUUAUGUGUUUACGAUGACGACAUCAUCAGAUAAUGAGGAGGAAGUGGAGCACAUGGUGCAACGCCUAUCCCCAAAUGCCAACAGGAUAUAUCAUCUAUCAGGGACACAGAAGUUUGAGUUGCCAAAGCAAGAGGUUAGAAUUGCAGAUGUAUUUCAAGCUGUUGAAAAAGCAAAGAGUAGAUUCACAGUUUAUGCUUGGGGUCUGGCUGAUACAACUUUGGAGGAUGUGUUUAUCAAAGUUGCUCACACUGCUCAAGCUUUCAAUGUUCUCUCUUGACAUCCAUGAUCACAACUAAUCUAAUACCACAUUUUCUUGAAA
rnacentral:misc_RNA from 1 species